GACCUGGAUGCAUAGUUUGUUUCAAUGCCCUUUUCACUCUUAUAAACAAGAUUAUUGAUUGGAGCUGUUGAUUUUGUUUUAAUAUCUUUUAUGGGAUUACAAGAUGGAGAAAAAUACUUGAAGGGAAAAUAAGGAAACCAUAGAUGCUCCAUUGCUGAAUUUUAUGUUCUGCUAAAAAAAGGUGGAAAUAUCCUCAUCAUCAGUUGAAGAGGGUUUGGAUAGUGAAGGAUUGGAAAGUGUGAGAAGGGCAAGAGGGAGUUAGACUGAAAGUUCAAACUGAUAUAUAGAAUGAUGGUAGUUAUUUUGGUGGUGGGCAGAUGCAGGUGGUGCAUGCCUAAUUCAUAAGUAUGGUAAGGGUAGUGGAGAAUUUCUGUUCAAGAACCCUAAAAUUGAUGGUAAGUAUUUUGGAGGUAGGCUGAUGCAGGUGGUCAUGCAUUAAUCAAAAGUAUGGUGAGGAUACUGGGAAAUUUUCUGUUGAAGAAAUCUAAGUGCCAGGGUUUGGGGUGACCCAAAGCUUUGACUAGAAAUAAGAAAAUUUUGUAAUACCACUUCUUUUUUCCCAGGACAAUGAAAUGUUAUGAUGCAACAUUAGCUAAAA